rnacentral:misc_RNA from 1 species
UCCGGCUUAUCACCGGCAGUUUCUUCAGAGUGCCCAACUCAAUGAUGGCAACUGAAGAUAGGGGUUGCGCUCGUUGCGGGACUUAACCCAACAUCUCACGACGCGAGCUGACGACAGCCAUGCACCACCUGUAUACCGACCACAAGGGGGGCCGUAUCUCUACGGCUUUCCGGUAUAUGUCAAACCCAGGUAAGGUUCUUCGCGUUGCAUCGAAUUAAUCCACAUGCUCCGCCGCUUGUGCGGGCCCCCGUCAAUUUCUUUGAGUUUUAAUCUUGCGACCGUACUCCCCAGGCGGCACGUUUAUCGCGUUAGCUCCGCCACGAGCGGGGUCGAUUCCGCUCACAGCAAACGUGCACCGUUUACAGCCGGGACUAC